UACGUAGGGGGCAAGCGUUGUCCGGAAUCAUUGGGCGUAAAGAGCGUGUAGGCGGCCAGACAGGUCCGUUGUGAAAACUGGGAGGCUCAACCUUCAGACGUCGACGGAAACCGUCUGGCUAGAGUCCGGAAGAGGAGAGUGGAAUUCCGUGGUGUAGCGGUGAAAUGCGCAGAUAUCAGGAAGAACACCGAUGGCGAAGGCAGCUCUCUGGGACGGUACUGACGCUGAGACGCGAAAGCGUGGGGAGCGAACAGG
rnacentral:rRNA from 1 species